AGCCACUGGAGCUCAUCUGGUCCCACCCUGCUCCAGCAGGGUCCCCAGAGCAUGCUGCUCAGGAUUGUGUCCAGAUGGAUCUAGAGUAUGUCCAGGGAAGGAGACUCAGCCUGUGUGGGCAGCCUGGGCCAGUGCUCGGUCACUGCUCAGGGAGGAAGUUCUUCCUCAUGCUGCUGGUUCAGUGGGAAUGGGCAGAGCUUGGCCUCGCUGAUCUUGGAGGCCUUUUUCCAUCCCUAAUGAUUCCAUGUCCAAACUGAACUCCUGGGAUCAGUUCCUGCCCACUGCUGGGCCCCUGGGGCAGGGCUUGGACCCUGCUCUGCCCCUCCCUGCACCAGGGACACCCAGGGACACCCAGGGCUCCUCUCCAGGCUGAACAGCCCCAGCUCCCUCAGCCUUUCCUCACCAGGACAUGCUCCAGGCCCCUCACCAUUGUCUUGGGAAAACCAGUCCCAAACAGGCCCAUUGGAGCCACCUGGGGAUCCUGAGCACCUGCAGUAUCUUGGUCACCUUGCUGGACACGUUUUCAUCUUCAAAACCAUCUCUGAAAGCUCACAAAGAUGUCAGGAAGCUCCUGAUGGCCAAGAAGAGGCCAAAAUCCCAGAGGUGUGGAAGGAGGAGACCCCAGGGGUCAGAUCCACUGGUUCACCUGGCAGAGUAGCCAAGCACAGCCCCAGCACAGGGACAGGAGCUCAGCAGAGCCCCAGCUGAGGCUUAAAUAUCCCCACAGCUGUGGGUGGAGGAUGGAUGGAUGGAUGGAUGAUGGAUGGAUGGAUGAUGGAUGGAUGGAUGAUGGAUGGAUGGAUGAUGGAUGGAUGGAUGAUGGAUGGAUGGAUGAUGGAUGGAUGGAUGAUGGAUGGAUGGAUGAUGGAUGGAUGGAUGAUGGAUGGAUGGAUGAUGGAUGGAUGGAUGAUGGAUGAGACCCUACAGCCCCUCAGCUGAGCUCCCCAGGAGUUUCUGUAGCCCCAGUUUAACCCCACCCUGUGUGAAACUGUCCUGGCAGAGCUUUUGCCUUGGUUUACUGGAUCAAACUGGUCACUUUUGGGGAUGGGCAGUGUGUUCCUGCUGGGCUGUGGCUGUGCCAGGGCCAGGUGGGCACAGGCAAGGCACUGCCAGCCCUGGUCUCAGUGACCCAGUUACAGCAUCCAGGGAACUCCUGUGCCUGUUCUGGCUGAGCAGCCCCAUCCCUGCUCCUUGUUCCCUGCUCCCUAUUCCCUGUUCCUGCUCCCUGUUCCCUGCUCCCUGUUCUCUAUUCCCUGCUCCCUAUUCCCUGUUCCCUGCUCCCUCUCCCUGUUCCCUGUUCCCUCUCCCUGUUCCCUGUUCCCUCUCCCUGUUCCCUGUUCCCUCUCCCUGUUCCCUGUUCCCUCUCCCUGUUCCCUGUUCCCUCUCCCUGUUCCCUGUUCCCUCUCCCUGUUCCCUGUUCCCUCUCCCUGUUCCCUGUUCCCUCUCCCUGUUCCCUGUUCCCUCUCCCUGUUCCCUGUUCCCUCUCCCUGUUCCCUGUUCCCUCUCCCUGUUCCCUGUUCCCUCUCCCUGUUCCCUGUUCCCUCUCCCUGUUCCCUGUUCCCUCUCCCUGUUCCCUGUUCCCUCUCCCUGUUCCCUGUUCCCUCUCCCUGUUCCCUGUUCCCUCUCCCUGUUCCCUGUUCCCUCUCCCUGUUCCCUGUUCCCUCUCCCUGUUCCCUGUUCCCUCUCCCUGUUCCCUGUUCCCUCUCCCUGUUCCCUGUUCCCUCUCCCUGUUCCCUGUUCCCUCUCCCUGUUCCCUGUUCCCUCUCCCUGUUCCCUGUUCCCUCUCCCUGUUCCCUGUUCCCUCUCCCUGUUCCCUGUUCCCUCUCCCUGUUCCCUGUUCCCUCUCCCUGUUCCCUGUUCCCUCUCCCUGUUCCCUGUUCCCUCUCCCUGUUCCCUGUUCCCUCUCCCUGUUCCCUGUUCCCUCUCCCUGUUCCCUGUUCCCUCUCCCUGUUCCCUGUUCCCUCUCCCUGUUCCCUGUUCCCUCUCCCUGUUCCCUGUUCCCUCUCCCUGUUCCCUGUUCCCUCUCCCUGUUCCCUGUUCCCUCUCCCUGUUCCCUGUUCCCUCUCCCUGUUCCCUGCUCCCUGGUUUAAUUCCCCGCGGGUGACUCAUCCCGGCCCCUUUAUCAGCGCUGCACACAAAGAGCCCUUUGUGCUCCUGCAG
rnacentral:lncRNA from 12 species